rnacentral:rRNA from 1 species
AUUGAACGCUGGCGGCAGGCCUAACACAUGCAAGUCGAACGAGUGGCGGACGGGUGAGUAAUGUCUGGGAAACUGCCUGAUGGAGGGGGAUAACUACGGGAAACGGUAGCUAAUACCGCAUACCAUCGGAUGUGCCCAGAUGGGAUUAGCUAGUAGGUGGGGUAAAGGCGCAACUAGGCGACGAUCCCUAGCUGGGAAGAGAGGAUGACCAGCCACACUGGAACUGAGACACGGUCCAGAAUCCUACGGGAGGCAGCAGUGGUGAAUAUUGCACAAUGGGCGCAAGCCUGAUACAGCCAUGCCGCGUGUAUGGAGAAGGCCUUCGGGUUUUAAAGUACUUUCAGCGGGGAGGCGUUACCCGCAGAAGAAGCACCGGCUAACUCCGUGCCAGCAGCCGCGGUAAUUC